rnacentral:lncRNA from 1 species
AAUGCAUGCGCCACUAACACCGACACAGUGCGGUCGUCGCCAAUAGAGCCAUGUAAUGCGUCCAUGAAGUGCCGUUGAAUGGACAUCUGGUGUCCACCGGUCUGCGGGGGGCGCGGGGGAGGGGGGGGGCGGUUGGGGGAGACUGGUCCUGGCAACGCUCGCAAGGCAGCGACGCUCGCUGGGCGCGACGCUCGCUGGGCGCGACGCUCGCUGGGCGCUCUAUGCACCGCACCAAUAGGAUAUGCAUCGCAUUCGCCAGGACAGUUCGGGCCAACAAGUUCGGCUUCCGAACUUCCGAAAUCUCCGAAACUUCCAUGCGCCCGAUGCCACGCGCCCUCGAAACUCACCACGAUGGGGUCAGCUGGUAGCUUGGUGGAACGCCAGCGUCGCCGAGGCUCCGCUGCGAUAAGCACAAUCGAGCGUUGCGCAAUUUGUCCAGCGUGGCAAGUCAGCAUAUCAAGGUGCAUCUGGGAAGGAAGAUAUGAUCUCACCUGUGAGCUGGGGGGGGGGGGGGGAAGAGAAAGAGUCGGGCGGUGCGACGCGACUUGUCCGGGCCCCCCCAAAGCUGCGAUUUGGGGCCCUCGGGCCCCAAGGGUCGGAAGCAAGCGGCGCCCCGCGUUAGUCCGCGCUAGCGAGCUCGCAGCCCUGCCACAAUGUGUAUGCUAUCAGCAAAUUACCAGACAUGAAACAAGGACAGUCGCGCUCGCUCUCGUUAUGCCCAGACGCUUCUGGUCUUUUC